rnacentral:rRNA from 1 species
AAUGUCUUCAUUAAUCAAGAACGAAAGUCAGAGGUUCGAAGGCGAUCAGAUACCGCCCUAGUUCUGACCGUAAACGAUGCCAACUAGCGAUCCGCCGAUGGAACACUUGCCAUGGUGGGGAGCUUCCCGGAAACGAAAGUCUUCCGGUUCCGGGGGAAGUAUGGUUGCAAAGCUGAAACUUAAAGGAAUUGACGGAAGGGCACCACCAGGAGUGGAGCCUGCGGCUUAAUUUGACUCAACACGGGGAAACUCACCCGGCCCGGACACCGUGAGGAUUGACAGAUUGAUAGCUUUUUCAUGAUUCGGUGGAUGGUGGUGCAUGGCCGUUCUUAGUUCGUGGAGCGAUUUGUCUGGUUUAUUCCGAUAACGAGCGAGACUCUGGCCUACUAACUAGUCUGGGCAUUGUCACUGUGCCUAGCACUUCUUAGAGGGAUUUUCGGUGUUCAGCCGCACGAAAUUGAGCAAUAACAGGUCUGUGAUGCCCUUAGAUGUCCGGGGCUGCACGCGCGCUACACUGGC